rnacentral:lncRNA from 1 species
GCCCAUCCUCUCGAAUUAGCGCGGGGCACGAGGAAUUUGGCACGGUGCUAAUUGCCAUCAGAGGGAACAAGUGGCCUCAGCUUUGAUCUGGAGAGUUUGUGCUGACUCUUUCUGGUCUGAGUAGGAACCCUCUCCCUGCCCCACUCAUCUGCACCAGGUCCUGCAGCAUCUCCACGUGUGCACAGUGAGAAUUACUGACUUCAGCGAAGAUCCAGUAGGGGGGAAUCGAUGUACUGGCUCUUUGCCAUCAAGUCACAGGAGCUUCACUCCAGAGCUGAGGGACUGCAGGGCCCUGCUGGCGUCCUGGAUGCUAAACCCUGCUCUCUGCUACCCUGCAAUCUCAGGUGCUGCCUUUCUCUUGAAUGUAACUGAGAGCAGAGCCCUGCCAGGAUUGCACAUUCGGCUUCAUAAAAGGAGAGUUCGAGGGAAUCCUGCCAUAAUCGUAUUUACAAGGUCUGUAAGAAGAGAAAUUCCCCAUAUUCAAUGAAGUAAUGUUAAUUAAACAUCAGGACAAGAAAAUACAGAUGUGAAAAGGUAAAAAAUACAGGUUUAAUGGUAUUUCAGCCAUGAGGUGCUGUGUCUGAGACCCCUGAAAUCACAGCUUGCACGUGCCUGUUGCAGAAGGUGCCUCAGGCACCCCAGACUCAAUGGGGGACCUGGCUCGGGGCUGGCUGCUCUGGG